rnacentral:rRNA from 1 species
AGAGCGAACGCUGGCGGCAGGCCUAACACAUGCAAGUCGAGCGGCCGUAGCAAUACGGCAGCGGCAGACGGGAUAGUAACACGUGGGAACGUACCCUUCAGUUCGGAACAACCCAGGGAAACUUGGGCUAAUACCGAAUACGUCCGUAAGGAGAAAGAUUUAUCGCUGAGGGAUCGGCCCGCGUCUGAUUAGCUAGUUGGUGAGGUAAUGGCUCACCAAGGCGACGAUCAGUAGCUGGUCUGAGAGGAUGAUCAGCAUCACUGGGACUGAGACACGGCCCAGACACCUACGGGUGGCAGCAGUCGAGAAUUUUUGACAAUGGGGGAAACCCUGAUCGAGCGACGCCGCGUGGAGGAUGAAGGUCUUCGGAUUGUAAACUCCUGUCAUUGGGGAACAAGGUGCAUACGUUAACUGCGUGUGUAUUGAUAGUACCCGAAGAGGAAGAGACGGCUAACUCUGUGCCAGCAGCCGC